GUACUCGUUUUAGCAGCACACAUACUAAAAUCGGAACAAGGCCGAGAUGACCACAGCCCUGCACAAAGAUGACACACACAUUCCUGAAGCAUUCUAUAUUUUU